AGAUGAUGGUUUCAGUACAUGAACUUUUUGUUUAAGACACAAUUCAGUCCUCGAUAAAAAAAAAAGUUUAAUAAAAAGUUCUACUACCAAUGCAUAAUUGAUGCAGUAAUUGCCUAUCUCUUCUCAUUUGCCCAGAAUUGGAAACUUCACAAAUAUCCUCCAAUGGGUAAAUGAUUAACCACACUGUAAUGCAUGGGAACCGUGAAAUAGUGCUAAACAAAAAGGGAUGAACUACUUAUUCACACAACUUCAAUGAAUCAAAUUUUAAAGGAGGAAAUUAUGCUGAGUGAACAAAAUCAAUCACAUGGUCUCAAUUAACUAACAUUUGUGAAUAAUUUUAAAGAUACCGAAUAAAUUGUUGUUUCUGAGAGUAA